rnacentral:lncRNA from 1 species
AGGUGCAGGGCGUCGCGCGCUUCGGUCCCGUGUGGUUGGCCAGCUUCGGGAAGGUGCGCACUGUGUACGUGGCGGCCCCUACACUCAUCGAGCAGCUCUUGCGACAGGAGGGUCCCCGGCCCGAGCGCUGCAGCUUCUCACCCUGGGCAGAGCACCGUCGCCGCCGCCAGCGGGCUUGCGGACUGCUCACCGCGUGAGUCCUCUCGGGCCUCAAAGCCCAAACGUCCUGCUGCGCCCCUCUCCUGUGGCUGGUCUGGAGACAGUCUGUCUCGGGUGUGGAGGGAGGUCGGCCUUUUCCCUCAACCUUCUGGUAAAUGGGGCUUCCCGCCCCUGCCAUUUUCCCUCAAGCUCAGGUAAAGCCCCGCCCUUGCCCCACCGCCCAUCUCUUUGUCUUUUGAAGCCAAAAUCCCGGGAAUCCGCCGAAGGGGCGAAGGUACCAGGACCAAGGUGGAAUGUCAGAUUCUGUGACUCAAGUUACCCAGGAAUCCAGGCCCCUCCGGGGCAGGAAAUGAGUAACGAAGUAGGGGAAUGGAAAGCGGGCACAGGCAGGGGCAGGUUUUGGUACCCCAGGGGGAGCGGCGGCAGUCUCUUUCUGGCCACCCCGGCCGAACACGCUCCAUCUUCGCUGCAGCCAGCUCCGUCCAGCCACCCACACACACCCCCAUCCGCUCUGAUGCGCCCCCUCUCUGCACACCCGUAGGGAAGGCGAAGAAUGGCAGAGGCUCCGCAGCCUCCUGGCCCCGCUGCUCCUCCGGCCUCAAGCUGCCGCCCGCUACGCCGGAACCCUAGACGACGUGGUCCAUGACCUUGUGCGGCGUCUUCGCCGCCAGCGGGGACGCGGCGCUGGGCCGCCCGCUCUGGUUCGGGAUGUGGCAGGAGAGUUUUACAAGUUUGGACUAGAAGGUGAGUCCCAAGGCAGGGGCAAGUGUAGGAGGCACCCGCCUGGGUUUCUCAGUGCCCUGACAGCGCCCCCUCGCGCCCAGGGAUAGCCGCCGUGCUCCUGGGUUCACGCCUGGGCUGCCUGGAGGCCGAAGUGCCUCCAGACACAGAGACCUUCAUCCGCGCGGUGGAAUCGGUAUUUGUGUCCACGCUGCUGACCAUGGCGAUGCCUAGCUGGCUUCACCGCCUCGUGCCCGGACCCUGGGGCCGCCUCUGCCGAGACUGGGACCACAUGUUUGCAUUUG